GUUUCCGGUUGAUCCUGCCGGACCUGACUGCUAUCGGAUUGAUACUAAGCCAUGCGAGUCAUUGUAGCAAUACAAGGCAGACGGCUCAGUAACGCGUAGUCAACCGACCCUAUGGACGGGAAUAACCUCGGGAAACUGAGUAUAAUGCCCGAUAGAACACUAUACCUGGAAUGGUUUGUGUUUCAAAUGAUUUAUUGCCGUAGGAUGGGACUGCGGCCUAUCAGUUUGUUGGUGAGGUAAUGGCCCACCAAGACUAUUACAGGUACGGGCUCUGAGAGGAGUGGCCCGGAGAUGGGUACUGAGACACGGACCCAGGCCCUAUGGGGCGCAGCAGGCGAGAAAACUUUGCAAUGUGCGAAAGCACGACAAGGUUAAUCCGAGUGGUUUCUGCUAAAGGAACCUUUUGACAGUCCUAGAAACACUGUUGAAUAAGGGGUGGGCAAGUUCUGGUGUCAGCCGCCGCGAUAAAACCAGCACCUCAAGUGGUCAGGAUGAUUAUUGGGCCUAAAGCAUCCGUAGCCGGCUCAGUAAGUUUUCGGUUAAAUCUGUACGCUCAACGUACAGGCUGCCGGGAAUACUGCAGAGCUAGG
rnacentral:rRNA from 1 species